UAGGGAAUCUUCGGCAAUGGACGGAAGUCUGAACGAGCAACGCCGCGUGAGUGAAGAAGGUUUUCGGAUCGUAAAGCUCUGUUGUUAGAGAAGAACGUUGGUAGGAGUGGAAAAUCUACCAAGUGACGGUAACUAACCAGAAAGGGACGGCUAACUACGUGCCAGCAGCCGCGGUAAUACAUAGGUCCCGAGCGUUGUCCGGAUUUAUUGGGCGUAAAGCGAGCGCAGGCGGUUCUUUAAGUCUGAAGUUAAAGGCAGUGGCUUAACCAUUGUACGCUUUGGAAACUGGAGGACUUGAGUGCAGAAGGGGAGAGUGGAAUUCCAUGUGUAGCGGUGAAAUGCGUAGAUAUAUGGAGGAACACCGGUGGCGAAAGCGGCUCUCUGGUCUGUAACUGACGCUGAGGCUCGAAAGCGUGGGGAGCAAACAGG
rnacentral:rRNA from 1 species